rnacentral:rRNA from 1 species
GAUGAACGCUGGCGGCGUGCCUAAUACAUGCAAGUCGAGCGAACAGACGAGGAGCUUGCUCCUCUGACGUUAGCGGCGGACGGGUGAGUAACACGUGGAUAACCUACCUAUAAGACUGGGAUAACUUCGGGAAACCGGAGCUAAUACCGGAUAAUAUAUUGAACCGCAUGGUUCAAUAGUGAAAGACGGUUUUGCUGUCACUUAUAGAUGGAUCCGCGCCGCAUUAGCUAGUUGGUAAGGUAACGGCUUACCAAGGCAACGAUGCGUAGCCGACCUGAGAGGGGGAUCGGCCGCCCUGGAGCUGAGACGCGGUCCAGGCUCCUGCGGGAGGCAGCAGUAGGGAAUCUUCCGCAAUGGGCGAAAGCCUGACGGAGCAACGCCGCGUGAGUGAUGAAGGUCUUCGGAUCGUAAAACUCUGUUAUUAGGGAAGAACAAAUGUGUAAGUAACUAUGCACGUCUUGACGGUACCUAGUCAGAAAGCCACGGCUAACUACGUG